rnacentral:rRNA from 1 species
CCUACGGGUGGCAGCAGUGGGGAAUAUUGCACAAUGGGCGAAAGCUUGAUGCAGCGACGCAGCGUGAAGGAUGAAGGUCUUCGGAUCGUAAAGCGCUGUUAUCAGGGAAGAACGUUCACUGUAGUAAUCAGUUGUGGAUUGACGGUACCUUCAAAGAAAGCACUGGCUAACUCCGUGCCAGCAGCCGCGGUAAUACGUAGGGUGCCAGCGUUAAUCGGAAUUACUGGGCGUAAAGCCGUCGUAGGCCGUAUGUCAAGUCCGGGGGUAAAUCCCCGGGCUCAACCUGAGCAUUGCAUUUGAUACUGGCAAACUAGAGUGUGUUAGAGGAAAGUGGAAUUCCAGGUGAAGGAGUGAAAUGCGUAGAUAUAUGGAAGAACACCAGUGGCGAAGGCGACUUACUGGGACAAUACUGACGCUGAGGGACGAAAGCGUGGGUAGCAAACAGGAUUAGAUACCCCAGUAGUC